UGUAUAAGGGGAGAAAAUUCCCCAGUAAAUGAUUGU
rnacentral:guide_RNA from 1 species